CUUCUUCUUCUUCACCGUCACCGCCCUCAAUUUUCAUUUCCUUGAUGCUCUUUCCUAGUGGCUGAAGAAGCAGCUGGUUUUCUUCACAGGCCGUCAUCGGAUCCCGCGGGAGCUUCAGAGAAGACUUCUGACUGUGAGUGAAGACCCCAGGCCACUGCUGUCUGCCUCUUGCUGACCGUGGGAAGGUGUGGGGCUGGGAUGUGCAGCCAGGACCCCAAAUGUGCCGGGAGCACCAGAGUCAUCAGAUGAAGACGACUCCACCCAGCAGUGAGCUCAUGUGGUGGGGUCUGAUCCUGCCUUGCAUUACAACCACUCCAGAAAUACAUGACUUUGUAUUACUUCCACAGACCAAGUUUAUCAUUAACUUAUACAGCUCUGGAUGACCAUUAUCCAGAGCCGUGCCCAGGCUCUGUUUUGCACCUUGCCUUGAGACUGCCUGGCUGCAGGUGUGAAAGAGGAAAGAUGGUGCACAGGACUGUGUACAUAGGAGGGUUUUAUACUGAAGGACUACAGAACAGUUAUGUAUGUCAGUGCCAUCAGCUGUGACUGGAAAAAGAAGGUGGUUCAGAUGCAAGAAGUCAUUUUACGUGUCAUAAAUCUAUUAUUGGCAUUUGUCUUUCAAUAAAUUGUUUUAAAAAAUUAUGAAG